UAGAGAGUAACCGUAUACUAGUAGUUGUUUGAUUUCGAGGGAGAUCGCGAGAUGAAGACCGUGUAGCAGUGCUUCGUACUCAGCUUUGUUGUUUGAGACUAUCCAAAAGAUUUGAAGUACGUAUUUGAGUUGGUCUCCUUUUGGAGAAAUUAAGAGUACUCCUGCGCCGGCUCCUUCGAGCUUGAGGGAACCGUCAAAGUACAUAACCCAGUGCUCUGGCCUCUCGACUGGUGUUGGUACUUGGUUUUCUAUCCAUUCAGCCAUGAAGUCGACCAAAGCCUGAGAUUUGAUAGUUGUUCUUGGUUUAAAGUCUAA
rnacentral:lncRNA from 1 species